GUUUGCUCCCUGCAUUUCAUAACCAUGUAGCAAGUCCGGAAAAAAAACAACUGGUGCUUCGUACGUCACACAGGCCUUUCACCUUGACGUCGGCGCUAGGCUCUGCCUCCUCCCCGCCACUCAUGUUCUUCGCAGGAGUUCCUCCCCGCCGCUCCCGGUCAUCGUAGGAUCUCUUCCUAGCCGCCGCAGGAACCGGAUUCAGAUAUGGAAGGGGAUGGUUGUUAUUUUACCAAUCUUGUGAAUUGAGGAUUUGAACCUUUUGAAGACAUCUCUCAAUCACCAGUUCACUUGCAACAGCCAAUCUGUACAAAGGAUAAGAACACCUCAUCCAAGCCAACCCUAAAGCACAUAGGUAAAAAUUUCAGUGAAGAAGAAGAUAGACACAAGGGACUAAUCAAACAAGAGGCACGUUUUGGAAAAGAAUAUAUUUGUUCUCUGAGGCGAAUAGAGAAAAUUGUCCCAAACGUACUGAAAAUUCUUUGCUGCAUCGUUGGAGUUGUAUCCAAGAUGCUGUAAGUUAUGUGGAUGUUGCAAUAGUAUUGAGACUAGAAAUCAAAGCGGUUUGGCUGUUCAUGAUAGGGUGGAGCAAGCUGAGAAGCUUUUUAAAGAACAAGAUCCCCACAACAAGUCUUUUCAAUUCAAGCAUUGCUGGCUGUUGUUGAGGAACCAACCAAAAUGGCAUGACAAGCUAAAUCAAUUAGUUACCACAAAAAACUAGUAACAAGAAGCAGAAAACAACCAGAAAAAUCAAGUCUAGGCCUUGUUGACCUAUCAAUGAAGGAGGUUAAUGAUGCUGCUCCUAAUGCAAUUGAGAUUCCAGAGAUAGAACCAUCACAAAGACCUUUGGGUAAGAAGAAGGCAAAAGAGGCGGCACGUCAGGGUGGCAAUGAUGCUUGCAAAGAAGCAUUGAAGUUUCUGUAGGCAAAAAAGAUUGAGGAUGAUGCAGAGAAGGAGAUGAAGAGAGAAGAAAGACAUGCAAAGUCAUUUGCUCUGGACAAAGAGAUGCUUGAACUAGAAAAGGAGAGGAUUGCGCUAAAGAAGGAGAAGGUUGCCAACGAGGCAAACAAUAAUUUCUUGAAGAGGAUUGCAGAAGAAGAUAGAAUAAUGACCAUUGAUCUCAGUGCCAUGAAUGAGAUGCAGCAGCAAUAUUACCUGAGCAUUCAAGCUGAGAUUAUGGCUCGUCGCAUGAAUUAGAUCAUAGCUCACUGCUAGCCUUGUUCUUAAUUUAGUUUCUAGAGGCAUUCUAUUGUACGAACUAUUGUCAUUGUUAAUUUUAAUUGCAUGAACUAUGUGUCUUGAGUUAUCAGCAUUGUAAGAACUAUUUCGGUUGUGAUGUUAAUUUAAAGAAUAUUAAGUUCCUAAUUC